rnacentral:rRNA from 1 species
CAGUAGGGAAUCUUCCACAAUGGGCGAAAGCCUGAUGGAACAACGCCGCGUAUGUGAUGAAGGGUUUCGGCUCGUAAAACACUGUUGUAAGAGAAGAAUGACAUUGAGAGUAACUGUUCAAUGUGUGACGGUAUCUUACCAGAAAGGAACGGCUAAAUACGUGCCAG